rnacentral:rRNA from 1 species
GACGAACGCUGGCGGCGUGCUUAACACAUGCAAGUCGAACGGAAAGGCCCUGCUUGCAGGGUACUCGAGUGGCGAACGGGUGAGUAACACGUGGGUGAUCUGCCCUGCACUUCGGGAUAAGCCUGGGAAACUGGGUCUAAUACCGGAUAGGAGCCAUUUUUAGUGUGAUGGUUGGAAAGUUUUUUCGGUGUAGUAUGAGCUCGCGGCCUAUCAGCUUGUUGGUGGGGUAAUGGCCUACCAAGGCGGCGACGGGUAGCCGGCCUGAGAGGGUGGACGGCCACAGUGGGACUGAGAUACGGCCCAGACUCCUACGGGAGGCAGAAGUGGGGAAGAUUGAACAAUGGGCGCAAGCCUGAUGCAGCGACACCGCGUGGGGGAUGACGGCCUUCGGGUUGUGAACUCCAUUCGCUAGGGACGAAGCUUUUUGUGACGGUACCUAGAUAAGAAGCACCGGCUAACUACGUG